ACAAAAUAAACAAUAUAAUCUCACUAGGACCCGGUGUCACGAAUCUGAGCCUCUAGAAUACAGAAUAUUAUCCUAAUACAUGGUAUAUCCAAAGUCUGAUAUGCGGAAAUAAAGAGAUAGGAUAGGAGGGAGAAGAUCAAUGGUUGCGAACGCCGUGCAGCUACCUCGAUACUCCCAGAGGCUGGAUCUGCUGAUCAACUGGAUCUACUGAGCCUGAGACUGCCCUGGAUCUGCACACAAGGUGCAGGGAGUAAAGUGAGUACUCCGACUCAGUGAGUAAUAAAAGUAACUACAGUCCGAAGAUAAGAAAAUCCAGUAAAUACACAAAGUAAGCUAAAAUCCAAAUAUACAGCAACAUAUGGAACUGAGCAGCUAAACACUAGUAUAAAUACAAAUACAUGAAUGCAAUGCAUAUGAUGGUACAUUCCAGUACCCACUGCGGCGUGCAGCCCGAGCCAUUCNNNNNNNNNNNNNNNNNNNNNNNNNGCAAAACAACAUUUAAAACUUUGGACUGAAAUUAAAUGAUAUGCAAAUCAUGCUAAGCAGUAAUAUCAAUCCUCAAAGGAUUUUACAAAUCGGCACAAGGCCCCAAACAUGGCAUCAAGCCCAGUAAUAUCAAUGAAGUAUGUGUAUCAAUCACCAGUAUAGUAUAAACAUCACACGGGAUGGACCAAGUCACAAUCUUCAAUAGUAUCCGACCCCGCACUCGCCAUGGAGUGCGUGUCACGCCUCAAUAUAGCGUUAUGAUGUGAAAGUCCGGGGUUUGAAACCCUCAGAAUAGCAUUUACAUCUAUUACUCACCUCUAACCGGCCGUAGAC
rnacentral:lncRNA from 1 species